GACGAACGCUGGCGGCGUGCCUAAUACAUGCAAGUAGAACGCACGGUUUAUACCGUAGCUUGCUACACCAUAGACUGUGAGUUGCGAACGGGUGAGUAACGCGUAGGUAACCUGCCUGGUAGCGGGGGAUAACUAUUGGAAACGUUAGCUAAUACCGCAUAAUAUUAAUUAUUGCAUGAUAAUUAAUUGAAAGGUGCAAUUGCACCACUACCAGAUGGACCUGCGUUGUAUUAGCUAGUAGGUGAGGUAACGGCUCACCUAGGCGACGAUACAUAGCCGACCUGAGAGGGUGAUCGGCCACACUGGGACUGAGACACGGCCCAGACUCCUACGGGAGGCAGCAGUAGGGAAUCUUCGGCAAUGGACGAAAGUCUGACCGAGCAACGCCGCGUGAGUGAAGAAGGGUUUCGGAUCGUAAAGCUCUGUUGUAAGAGAAGAACGGGUGUGAGAGUGGAAAGUUCACACUGUGACGGUAUCUUACCAGAAAGGGACGGCUAACUACGUG
rnacentral:rRNA from 1 species